GGUCCCUGGCAGGAAAGUAUCCUUCAUCCUCGUUCAGAAAAAUUAAGUGUAAUCUAGACUAAAUGAUGCUUCCGUGGCGGCAUUAUUUCGCACAGCAGGCGUAACGACUUCCUUGCUACGGAUAGCAGUUUUUGGCGGAAAGACCUCCUUGAACUUUGAAUGGUGAAUGUUGUGAUGCCGCUCCAGAUUCCCUUUUUUACUCGGCGCUUGACUUUGGUGGCACAACAUACACACACAUUUGUCUUUGACAUGCGUAAAAACCAAUUGUUCGCCCCAUUCUGGAUGUAAAUUGUAUGUUCUAGCCUUCUUUUGCGGAGUCCCCAUCGGAGCAGACCGCUACCUGGGAAGGAUAGCCUCUCUUCUUUUGGUUUAAUGGCGGGUUGCAACCAUGAAAGGAUAGCGUCUCGUCUCGUGUCUUGGGAGUUAACAUGAUUGACGUGAAGAGGGACCCGGAUCAGCAUUCUUUUGUUGGUCAACUGCGGGAGGGAGGGUAAACUGAAGUAAUAACACUUCCGGCCCCCCCCCCCAGAGGUGUUAGUGGCGCCACUCAAGUCUGUCUAAAGCACGAAAAUGUAUACAAUUAGUGGCUUGCUGGAGGUUUCUACAGGCUGUACAGAUUUCUGCCGAAAUACAUCGAAUCCAAUAUUGGCGCUGGAUUGAAUUGAUUUUAAUGUUAUUUAGUAAAUAAAAGUUACUAAUUGCAGCACUUUAGGUGUACUUUUCAGAGCAAGAGCUUAGACGGGAGAAUAUUGUUUUGAAAAGACUUUGUUUUUCAUAUAAAACUUUUAUUUUGAAGUCAUGUCCGGGGAAGUUGUUCGGUAAGUGAGGUCACGUACAAACCGGUUAUUCAAAUCUCCGCCGAAUGUUUAUUGAAUAAACGUUGUCCAUAACUACGUUGGCUGCAGGUGAGGAGGUGUGCGAUAAGCUCGUUUUAGCUCUUUCCUUCCUCUGCUUCAGCUGUCCUGUCUCUGCUCAGGUGGUGUCUGCGUAUCUUUUCCUAAAACAAAAAGAAACAAACGCCGAAACUGUAACAUCGAUCAAAAUUGUCUCUAAUAACUCAUACUAUAAAAACGAAGUUUUAAGUGAUGUUUCUACCUCAUUUAAUGAAUCAAAAACAUCACGUGUGAUCUCUUCCCUCCUCUGUGCCACUGCACACGCACACACACACACACACACACACACACAGCUGCUUGCGCGAAAGAUGCCAAAGGUUUUAAUUGUACGGACAUCUUAUUUCAUAAAUGUAUCUGUUAAUCAAUCAGCCUGUUCAGUGAAGAGUGAGGAAAGUGUGUAUCAUAUUUGCUUGUAUUGAGGCAUUUACAGUAGGUCACCCAUCACCUUUGUGUGAAGCAGUUAAGCUAUUAAGAACCACUGAUUUGCUAAAAAAACAUAUCUGCAUACAGAUGCUAUAUAUAAUCUCAAUGAAAUUGCAGACUGUUCUGUUUUAUUAUUGUUGUUUUAUUGUUAUAUUUGUUUGUUGUUUUAGGUUUAUAAAUUGCAUGUUUGCUAACCAUCAACAUUCAUUACUCUUGUCGGUAGCCAACCUCCCUGAGCUUCUGUAUUUUUCUCUCUUUCGGUGGGAACACUGUGCAACUUCUUAAUGGUAGUAAGUAUCACUUUUUGUUUAUUUACUUUUAUGAUCAUUGGGAGAGGGCACACUAUUUCCAUAGCAUUACAGUAUUACCUUUAACACAGCUGUUAGUUAUUUCAAAAGCUAUUGGAUUUCAAUUUGACUUCAUGGCCAGAAGUGCAUGUUUUUUAGAACACUCCUGGCAUGUGUAAAGAGCAGCACACAUACGUUAUGUGAGUGAUUCCCAUACCAGGGGCUACACGUACCCCUGGUGUGUGAGCACAUUUCUUGUACUUAGCACUUUAUUGUGUAUAUUUUCAGUCAUUUCAUAUUAAGCCAGGCAAUGAAUGGAACACUUGCACUGCAACUAGUUUCCCCAGGGAGACAAUAACCUGUGGCAUGGCUGUGCUGAAAUCAUAACAGUUAAGAAGAGUGAGGGGGUACUCAAUGUAAGACAAAAAGGCUCUGAGGGUCCACAUGACAAAAAAGGUGGACAGCGUUCAUGCGGAUAAAUGUAAUGCCUCUUGAAUCACGCUUCAUCUCCCACUUGGACAAGCACAUGGACAACCUGGUGAUGCUAUUCUGCAAUGAGGUGGGAGUUUCAGGAAAGAAGAUCCCUCAAAUAUUGUCACUGACAACUCAGACAGAAGGCAUACACAUCAAGUGGGAGUGUGUCUUGAAAUGACCGUGUGUCCACCUCAAUGGGUACACCAAGCCACUCAUCAAGGAAUGCAUACUCCUGUGUCACCAUAGAUGACAUGGAGAAGGACGUUCCUCUGACCACCAUGGAGGUCUACGUGUUCAGAAAAGAAAAUGCAGUGCCUGAAGGAGAUCCAGAGGAUGUGGCCUACCAAGUAUCACUUGUGGACGUGCCAUGCUGUGUGGAUUGAUCGAUGCACUCAUCAUUUUGAGCUACCCACAAGCGUGGAAGCGCACGUUUAAAGUGUACCAGAAGACACUGAUGAACGUAGAUGGUAAGAAGCUUUCACCAAAAGUUCAGUCAUUGAAAAUGAAGAUGCUGCAGUGUUCUAUAUGGUGCAGUCAUGCCUCACCAGUGGACUCUUUUUGACUCUUCCUUAUAUACUUUGAAUCUUGGACUUCUGAUGAAAACAUAUCAUUUUUAUUGCUGCACUUAAGUGUAUACCUGAUUUUCCAUUGGACAUCAACACACCAAAGGGUGCAUUUAUGAUGCCCAUGCUUUUUUUUGCUGAGUGUGCAGCACGCAUUCUCACAAGGGUUUGGUUUGGUUAAGUUUAUUUGAACAUGAAGGUUCCAAUGGAAUACAUCUCAUGAAUCAUUCUUUCACCCUUCCUCAUGUCCAAAAGGAGUAGGAAGAAGCAAAGCUUAUUUAAUCCUACCCCCCAUCCAUUCCACACAUAGUACAGUACAUAUUAUUCACUUCCUGCAUUCCAUCUCAUAUUUUAUAUGAGGGAAUAAUGACAUUAUUCCCUUGUGAAACACAAUACAUUGACAUGAAAAUACUUUCGGAUAAUUAUA